rnacentral:rRNA from 1 species
UUGAAAGGGAAACGAUUGAAGUCAGUCGUACCAGCGGGAAAUCAACCUUUCGAGUGGGGGGUUUUGGAGUUUUGAAGAGUGUCAAAACCUUUGAGAUUUCAAAAUAUUCGCUCUUUUGGUGUACUUUCUCGUGGGUAGGUUAACAUCGAUUUUGAUCAUCAUAAAAAGAUUGGAGGAAUGUAGCUUCGAUCUUGUAUUGAAGUGUUAUAGCCUUUGGUAAAUGUGAUGAUUAGGAUCGAGGAUUGCAACGAAUACCCUUUUGGGCUAUCCGCCUGAUCUCUGAUACGUGGCCUUGGUAUCGAAAGCUUGCUUAUGGUAUUAAGGUAUUACGGUCAAAAGGUUAGAACGGAUUACAUUCGUUAAGGAUGUUGACGUA